CCUACGGGGGGCAGCAGUGAGGAAUAUUGGUCAAUGGGCGCGAGCCUGAACCAGCCAAGCCGCGUGAGGGAAGACGGUCCUAUGGAUUGUAAACCUCUUUUGUCGGGGAGCAAAAGACGCCACGCGUGGCGUUCCGAGAGUACCCGAAGAAAAAGCAUCGGCUAACUCCGUGCCAGCAGCCGCGGUAAUACGGAGGAUGCGAGCGUUAUCCGGAUUUAUGGGGGUUAAGGGGUGGGCAGGCGGAAGAUCAAGUCAGCGGUAAAAUUGAGAGGCUCAACCUCUUCGAGCCGUUGAAACUGGUUUUCUUGAGUGAGCGAGAGGUAUGCGGAAUGCGUGGUGUAGCGGUGAAAUGCAUAGAGAUCACGCAGAACACCGAUUGCGAAGGCAGCAUACCGGCGCUCAACUGACGCUCAUGCACGAAAGUGUGGGUAUCGAACAGGAUUAGAUACCCUUGUAGUC
rnacentral:rRNA from 1 species